UACGGAGGAUGCGAGCGUUAUCCGGAUUUAUUGGGUUUAAAGGGUGCGUAGGCGGUCGGAUAAGUUAGAGGUGAAAUCCCGAGGCUCAACUUCGGAAUUGCCUCUGAUACUGUUCGGCUAGAGAGUAGUUGCGGUAGGCGGAAUGUAUGGUGUAGCGGUGAAAUGCGUAGAGAUUAGGAAGAACACCAGUGGCGAAGGCGACUUACUGGACUGUAACUGACGCUGAGGCAUGAGAGCAUGGGGAGCAAACAGG
rnacentral:rRNA from 1 species